GCAUAUAGUUUUAGUAAAACUUUAAAUUUUAUUUUAUGAUUUGGUGUUUUGCCUGUGUUUAUGUCUUUGUACCAUGCGUGUGCCUAGUACCUGUGUAGAGUAGAAACAGGCGACAGAUCCUCUGGCACUGGAGUUACAGACAAUUGUGAACUGCCAGGUGGGUGCUGGGAAUCGAACCUAGGUCCUCUGGAAGAACAUUGAGCCAUCUCUUCAGCCCCCUGAUAUAAUUGCUUUACCAAGGCUCGCCGAUACCAUUGCAAACAUUGUGCCAAUUGAUUAUUUCCUUAGGCGUAGGUGUGCAGUUUUGUUCUAUAAGCAAAUGGCUUGAAAAGGUGACCAAGCAUUCUAAUAACAGUCAACAUGAGUGAGAAAUCCUCAAUUCGUUUUGAUGAAAUUUUAUCUGUAUUAUACAGAAGUUUGUUACAAGCAUGUUAACAUUUUAUAACCAAAUAUGGAUGAGUAACCGACUUUCUCCCCCACAGUGCGCAAGAGGCGAAUUGAAGGAGACCACCAGUAAGCGCAGUGACCUUUGGAAGCCUGCAGAUCACCAGAGGCUCGUGUUGGUGGCAGCAGAUGUAAAAAUUACCUGGGUAGAAGGGAAAGACUGGAAAUCUUUUUUAACUAUAUGCAUUAUUUUCCUAGCUUAUUAUAUUUGAUUUGUAAAAUCAGUACUAGGUAGUAUUUUGUAUUUGUAGCAUUUCUACUGAGACCAGUUUAAUUUAGCUUAAUUGAAUGGUUUAUGAUGAUUUUUAGGUAAAAAUGCAGUUGUGGAAAGUUUCAGAAGUCGUGUAUGUAAGAAUAAUUUGAAUGA
rnacentral:lncRNA from 1 species